rnacentral:misc_RNA from 1 species
UUAAGUUCAGCGGGUAUUCCUACCUGAUCCGAGGUCAACCUUUCAGAAGUUGGGGGGUUUUACGGCGUGGCCGCGCCGCGUUCCAGUGCGAGGUGUUGCUACUACGCAGAGGAGGCUACGGCGGGACCGCCAAUCGAUUUCGGGGCCGGCCCGUGACGGCCGAUCCCCAGCACAAGCCCGGGGGCUUGAGGGUUGAAAUG